rnacentral:rRNA from 1 species
CCUUGCUGAAUUAUUCACCCUUGUCUUUUGCGUACUUCUUGUUUCCUUGGUGGGUUCGCCCACCACUAGGACAAACAUAAACCUUUUGUAAUUGCAAUCAGCGUCAGUAACAAAUUAAUAAUUACAACUUUCAACAACGGAUCUCUUGGUUCUGGCAUCGAUGAAGAACGCAGCGAAAUGCGAUAAGUAGUGUGAAUUGCAGAAUUCAGUGAAUCAUCGAAUCUUUGAACGCACAUUGCGCCCUUUGGUAUUCCAAAGGGCAUGCCUGUUCGAGCGUCAUUUGUACCCUCAAGCUUUGCUUGGUGUUGGGCGUCUUGUCUCUAGCUUUGCUGGAGACUCGCCUUAAAGUAAUUGGCAGCCGGCCUACUGGUUUCGGAGCGCAGCACAAGUCGCACUCUCUAUCAGCAAAGGUCUAGCAUCCAUUAAGCCUUUUUUUCAACUUUUGACCUCGGAUCAGGUAGGGAUACCCGCUGAACUUAAGCAUAUCA